CAGAUUCGCUCAUUCAUCCUACAUUUGAUUGGAUUAUUAGUAGAUUCGCUCGCUUUGCUUUGCCAAUUCUCGUAAAAGUCUUUCUGUAGGGAGAGUAGUAUGCGAUGAAAAUCGACAUAACUUUCAACAUAGUGCCGAAUGACAACAAUAAUGUCAGGAUAUUUGGGAGAUUUUUUUUGGAUCAUAAUUCAGAUGAAAGAAUGCAUACCAAAACAUCUUGAGUGAUAAUGAUCCCCAUUGGUUCUUACCUCCACAGGUAGGUGUAUGUAUUUCUCAUUAACUUGUGUACUCUAUAUAUAUCAUAACUAAUACUUUAGGGAUUACUUUGCAUAAUUUGUCUUCAAGAAGUA